rnacentral:rRNA from 1 species
CCUACGGGAGACAGCAGUCGAGAAUCUUUCACAAUGGGGGAAAGCCUGAUGGUGCGACGUCGCGUGGGGGAAUGAAGGUCUUUGGAUUGUAAACCUCUGUUAUGUGGGAGCAAAUUAAAAAGCGAGUACCACUAGAGGUAGAGAAGGCCAAAUCGGUGCCAAGAGCCGCGGUAAUACAGGGGUCUCAAGCGUUUUUCGGAAUCCCUUGGCGUAAAGCGUGCGUAGGCUGGUACGUCAGUCGUGUGUGAAAGGCGCGGGCUCAAACCGCGGACGGCACAUGAAACUGCGGGACUUGAGUGAUGGAGGAGGAAGCGGAAUGCGCGGUGUAGCGGUGAAAUGCGUAGAUAUCGCGAGGAACACUCGUGGCGAAGGCGGGAUCCCGGAGAUUAACUGACGCUGAGGCACGAAAGCGAGGGGAGCGAAAGGGAUUAGAUACCCGUGUAGUC